UAUAUGGGGUUUAGGAUAAGACAAAGAGAAGGGAGUAUUCUAGCAGAAUAAGGAUGGAAAGCCUAACCAUAGAGAGUAAAAGUCUCGUAAGCGAAAGAAGAAACCGGAAAGUCUUAAUCCAGAGUACCACGGGACACGAGAAACCCUGUGGGAAGAAGGGGGGACCACCCCCCAAGGCUAAAUACUACCUGGUGACCGAUAGAGGAAAGUACCGUGAGGGAAAGGUGAAAAGAACCCCGGGAGGGGAGUGAAAGAGAACCUGAAACCCUAUGCUUACAAGCAGUGGGAGCAAAGAAAGAUUGUGACCGCGUGCUUUUUGUAGAACGAACCAGCGAGUUACUGUCAGUAGCGAGGUUAAGCACUAAAGGUGUGAAGCCGAAGGGAAACCGAGUCUGAAGAGGGCGAUCAGUUGCAGGCAGUAGACCCGAAACCGAGUGACCUACCCAUGUCCAGGGUGAAACGGGAGUAAAAUCUCGCGGAGGCCCGAACCCGUGUCUGUUGAAAAAGGCUGGGAUGAGGUGUGGGUAGCGGAGAAAUUCCAAUCGAACUCGGAGAUAGCUGGUUCUCCCCGAAAUAGCUUUAGGGCUAGCGUUAACCAUGAGAGAUGGAGGUAGAGCACUGAAUAGGCUAGGGGGCGUAGAGCCUACCGAACCUUAUCAAACUGCGAAUGCCAUACUCUAAGAGGUUAGCAGUCAGACUAUGUGAGAUAAGUUUCAUAGUCGAGAGGGAAACAGCCCAGACCAUCAGCUAAGGUCCCAAAGUGUAAGUUAAGUGGGAAAGGAUGUAGAAAUGCAAAGACAACCAGGAUGUUGGCUUAGAAGCAGCCAUACAUUUAAAGAGUGCGUAAUAGCUCACUGGUCGAGUGAUUCUGCGCCGAAGAUGUCCGGGGCUAAAACUUACCACCGAAGCUAUGGAUCUACACCAAGAGAGUAAGAUGGUAGGGGAGCAUUCCAUACAGGUAGAAGCUAACCUGAAAGGGGAAGUGGACAGUAUGGAAGAGAGAAUGCUGGUAUGAGUAGCGAAAGUUAGGUGAGAAUCCUAACCAUCGAAAGCCAAAGGUUUCCUGAGGAAGGUUCGUCCGCUCAGGGUAAGUCGGGACCUAAGCCGAGGGCGAAAGCCGUAGGUGAUGGAUAACUGGUGGAAAAUCCAGUACCACCGAGAGGCGCAAAGAGAGAAGGAGUGACACAGGAGGAUAAGCUAACCAGGGGGAUGGAAAGCCCUGGCCAAGCAGUAAGGGAGAUAAGAUAGGCAAACCCGUCUUAUCAAAAAUCCUAAGCUGUGAAGGGGAUCGAAAAAAGAGUAGAGAAGUAGCUGAAUUCACACUGUCGAGAAAAACUUCUAUCAAGCCUUGAGGUGCCCGUACCGCAAACCGACACAGGUAGGCGAGGAGAGAAUCCUAAGAUGAGCGGGAGAAGUGUUGUUAAGGAACUCGGCAAAAUGG
rfam:Garciella nitratireducens DSM 15102 genome assembly, contig: BP36DRAFT_scaffold00025.25